UCUGGUGUCCUAUUCCCUCCUACUCUCCAUCCUUAAAGAUGAUGCUCAUCUCUCCUGAAGAGGUUUCUGUGUACUCUGUGAAGUUUUGCAGGGAUUUGAUGGAACUGUCAGCUGAGCAGCAGCAUGGACAGCUGCCUGGGGCAAGGCCUGUUGGUUUGAAGGAUCUUUCUACUGCAGCAUCAAACCCCAGAUCCUGCAAGAACAAGGUGUUACCACCAGCAGCAAAAAUGGGCUCUGCAGGAAAACUGUCACUGAAAUGAUCUCUCCCACAAAUGCUGAGCUAACCAUGCUGCAAUGGCUGUUCCCAGUUUCACACGUGUUAAUACCUAGGGGUAAGAAGAGCAACUUAGCUUGGACCUAUGAUGUCACUUGCCAACAGAAAGUUGGGGUGAGGAAGAAAGCGGUGGGAAUCAGACCACAUUUGCCAGAGGUGUCAGCCAUGUGCGGGCAGGUCAAUGCCAACAGCGAGAGAUGCACCACAGCAACGGGAAAGGGUUGUGGGAUCUAACAGAGGCGUGUCUACUGGGAAGAAAACCCCUCCUGCAUCCUUUCUAACAGAGCUCACACUUUGACGCCCCAUGAUAUGGACGAGGUGAGAAGGAGCCACCAGCUUUGGAUAGAAGAAGCCUGUUCUUGAGUGUAUAUCAUAAGUUAGAUGUGCAAAGGGGAGAGAGAUCAGCCAAGGACACCUACAGCUUUAUCUGCCCCUUUGAGGAACGUCAAGCUGGGAAGCCCAGAGCAAAACCAUCCCUUCCCAGCCCACUGGUGUUCACCCAGGGUGACAAAGGGACACAUGCAGACAGCAGGGGACAUGAGCAUGCGGAGAAGGAGGAAGGAAGGAAGAAUGUAAGAUGCAAACCGCACCACUUAAAACCAGGGCGGCUUUCCAGUUCCUCCAAAGUGCUCCCCACACCCAGCGCUGUACAGCAGCCAACCUGGUGGGCUUCUGAUCUUCCCAAAUCACUUAACACUUCUCCCCCUUUUAUUUUUGUCCUAAAUGUAAGCAUUUUGCUUUGGUGGCUGAUCCUGGCAACGUGCCCCAGACAUUACACUGGGGUUGCUUUUGCUCUAGGAGAUAAGUCUGUAAUGAAGGCUUCCUCUGCCGUGUCUCUUUUUCCCCUGUAGUGAAAGUCUGUAAUUACCACUGAGGGGCGAGGCAGACAGCACUGAAACAAUGUCAUUUGAACAGGGGUGAGACAUGCCUGAAUUGCUGGGUUGUGCUUUUCUCCUUACAGUAUUGCUUGUGGAUACGGACCUUGCUUUUAACCCUUGGCAGGGCAGGGAACGCUGUCCCCCCAUGUCCCCGACCAGCCUGCAUGCACUGGAUCUGCUUGGCUGCUAUCGGGACAGAUCCUGCUGGACGUAGCCAAGGUGUGAGCGUCUGACUUCUCUGCCAUGCUCGAGGAGUCAAGUGGCACAAAUCAGCGGGGAUUGCCCCCUAGUCGUCAUGCAGGUAACUGGGGGUUUGGGGUUGACUCCAUAUGGCACAUGCAGCGUGGCAAAACAGAGCUGUUGCAGUCUUCUUGCCCCAACUUGGCUAGUCCUGUUCCAGCGGUUCUUCAGCUCCCUCCUGCACCAAAGCCGUCUGCUUCCCGUUCCUUGAUGCAAGGCAUCUUUUUGGUAUAAAAUUCCGUCAAACAGAGUGUGCAGCUAUACCUCUCAUCCUUCCUAGGAAAAGGUUUGAGAUGUAGGAAACAGAAAUGAGGCAAUUACAGCCCCCUCAGGAUGACUCUUCAGGCUGUCUGCAGCCCCUUGAAGGCUGCCUGGGUCCCGUUUGCAAGCUGGCCUUGCAACCAUGCAGGCUAGAAGUCUAGUAGAGUAGAACAAAUAAAAAUUCGUGCAUGGGAAGCAGAGGCAGCCACCCUCCUCUGCUGUCCUGCAGCUUCCCAUUCACCUGAGAUUCCUGAAAGGGAGUUAUUUACAGCACCUUCAAAUGCUAACAAACUGCUGGAAGGAGAUGCCCUCAUACUGAAGUUACUCUUCAUUCAGUUAGUCAUCCUGAAAGUUGUCUGGUUCUCCAGGGAGAUUGACAGGAAAAAAAA